CCUGAUGGCUCCCUUCCCCUGCAGCUCAAGGGUACUUAGCACCCUGGCAGGUACAGCCCUAAGGGUACCCUUGCAUCAAGCACACAGAGGCUCCUCUCUCACUCUCACCGGUACAUAUACCAAUGCAGGGCUGGACCUGAGAAGCUGGACAUGCAGACCUGCACCAGCACCUGCCUCCAUCCCCUGGAAGCACCCAGGUCUCGGGAGGGCCCUAGCCCCAGUGUCUGGAGGACCGGACUCCCGAGCCUACCCAGCAUGCCAGCAAGAUGACAGCCUAAGUCACUUAACUGUCUCUCCUCUUGGGUAUCACCCACCCUGCUUAUAUGGAUGCCCAAGGUUGACACACAGCCCUGAAUGUGGAGUUUAUGGGUCUGGAGGGCAGGAGCACAGGAGCAGAACAACAGGAGGGCAGGACCCUCCCUGACCUCACACUCCUGUGCGACGGAAUGAGGGAGGCUCACAUGCUUGCAUCCCCCACACGCACUCCAACCAGCCCCGUGUCCUGAAGCCAGGCAGUAUGGAGUCUCCAAAGACUCUGGAGAAGAUCCCCAAGACUGCAUGAUGACGCCUGGGCAGUGAGGCUCAGGGUGAUCAGCUGGUCUGAGGCACACGGAGGAGGAGCAGAAGCCAAAGGGAGCGGAGGAAAGGAAGUAGGCCAGGGAGGUGACAGAGGAGGUGGCCCCAGGGCUGAGAGUGGCAGGGAUCACGGUGGGAGCUGGGUGUCUGUGUCCCCAUUGUCUUCUUGGAGGAGGACUGUACUGCUGGUCUUUACCACCCUGCACCCUGCUGGGUCCCAUGGGAAGGUGGCCGGCUCCCCACCCUGACCUGCUUUGCAACAGUCCCGUGACCUGAUCUGCAGUACUCAUGUGCACUAGUCCUAGUAGCAGCCUGUCUCGGGUACCCACAGCUCUUCAAUGCCAUGCCUGACCAGACUACUUCCAAACAGAGUCAUUGAACAGUGUGUCCCUGCCCCUCCCAUCCUGCGCUGUCCCCAAAGACUUCCCAUGAGUCUCUCAAGGGAACAGAAAGGUCCUGCUACUGACACCUAGUCCCUGUCUGACCAAUCCACGCCCACUCCCUGACUAUCUGAGGGGUUUCCCCCUCCCUGGCUCCAAAGGAAGACUGUGACCCAACACUGGCCUCCUCCACACUACCUGUUCCUGCUCAGCUCACUGGCUACAAACCCUCAGACCCGAGCCCAGGCCUCUGUCUGCAGAGUCCUGGUGUAAGGUUUUUAAUCUCUACGUCUGAGACCCAGAAGCCUGUGAGAGCCCCAGAAGUGAGAGUGUUUUCUCACUCAGGUGGGAGCAGUGAGGCUUACACCCAACCCGGCGUUCCAGACACACGGCAUGACCACGAAGGCAGCAGACACGUGUGUCAGGAUGCCUGCAUGCUAGGCCCUACCUGACUGUAUCAUCUCACUGGGCUCCCCGACCUUUCAGUCACGCGGUAGGCUGCCCUGCCUCACAGCUAGAAGCCACAGUACCAGGAUCCACACCAGACAGUCUACUACGUCUGGCUGUGUCUUGUCACGGUCACCGGGGGGUGUCUGAGCACUGGACCCCUGGACGCUGUCCCCUCACUAACACUCUGAGACACUUGCUUCACUGUACAAGAUGAGCAGGAAGGGAGCAGCGUGACGGGGGUGGGGUGGACACCGACGGACCUAGACUGUGGUCUCUUGUAUUGUCUAGUUCCUCUGUCUUGCUUCCUUCUCCUGCAGUUGACCCCGUAAGGGACAGUGACGCUGCCUGCCGCUGUGAAGCCAGGGAUGGCGGUAGCUUCCCAACUGUGGCCCAGGGAGACUCAGGGCUGCACCACAGGCAUCUGGAUCAUUCCAUACAAGGAAAGAGGAUGAUGUAGGAGCCAAGAAGCACCACGACUGUCAAGCCCAGGAAAGGGUGGGUAAGCUGAGGCCUGUUCAGUGUCCUGGCCUACGCAUAGUAGGUGUUGUCAAGGCCACUGCCCACUUUCCUUUCUCAAACCUCUGGUCAAUGUGAAUGUCAGUGGCAUCUUUGAUUAUGCCUGUCCUGCCUCUGGACUGACUCUAGGAACCAUGAUGGGGGGGGGACCAUAUCUGGUGUGUAAAGGCUGGACUAGAGUGGGCUCCCAAGCACAGGCCGAUCGGAUAAACAGUCUGAUCAUAAAUGAGAGGCAUACAGCUCAGAACACACCCACAGUAGCAUUCGGGAGGGUGGGACAGGAAGAUCUCAAGUCCUAGGCCAACCUCAGCUCUGUGGUCAGAUCCACUGAUUCUUCCAAGGCCUGUGGGGGGACAACAGGGGCCAAGGGAGGGAGGGCAGCCACCUGGGGAAUCCCGUAGGAAGGGGCUACUGACAGAAGGGGGUGGGCUGUUCACUGAAGAGGGACCCCUUCACCAGGCUCCUUCAGGGAGAGGGCUGGAAACCAAGUGGGAAGGUAAUUACAUUAGGGAAGGAGGGAGGCGGUUCUGUUAAAAACAAAAUUUGACGGGAAGGAUGGGGCAGAUAAUGGUAGGGUGUGCUGUGUGCUCUCGGGAUGUUGGGGGCUCAGGAGAUAAAAGUGUGGGAAGGAUGGGGCCCUAGAGACAGCAGAAACAAGAGCCGACAUGAAUCUCUGAGCACCCAGGAGGUACGUGAGAUCAGAGCAAAGGGCAGGAGAGGGUCGGGAGGGUAGGAAAGCCCAGGAGGGUGAGGAGACCAGCGAGGUACAGAGGGGGAGCCACCAGCAUCUCACAGAACCCAGGACUCUGUAGGAAAAGCUAGUCUAAAGUGGCUCACGGAGGUCAGGAGGUAUGGAGAAUAUAGUCACCCUCCCACCUCUGCACUGGUUACAGAGCCUCUUGUAGGUACAAGGGCCCACUUGUCUAAGAACCCACGAUUCUCCUCUCACACGGUUUCAGUCAUCUCUGGAUUGGCCGUAACACACCUUCUGGAAGACGUGUGUCACAGAAAUAGUCACUAGGCUCUGCCGUGAAGGGAACAAGGACAAGAAAAGAAUCAUCUGUAUGAUUCCCCUGGCUUCUUCUGUCUCUCUCACUGAAGCCCGGGCUUUGGACACCGUGGAUAUCAGGGAGGGGUGUGUAUCUCUGUGUACCCGGGAAACUACAGCCAUUCAGAACAUAAAGGGGUCAGACAGGCACCGCGCUCAGGGUGCUAAGAGACUGCCGGCAUCUCAGGACGAGACACAGCAGCUCCCAAAAACAGCGAACGGGGCAGCCAGCCGACACCUCAAGGACUUUGCUGGGAGUCACGAGGAGGCUGCACUGGAUGUGUCGCCCCUUUGGAAAAAACCAGAGGCCACUGGGUACCCAGCAAGAGCCUUGUGCUGACUCAAGGACUGAGGCCUUGGCAGGAGACUCAAACACAGAUCAGGCUCCGGAGAGGUGGCGCUCAACACCAGGACCUGGAAGGGGCAACUCACCAGCUCGGUGGCAUCCUGGCCCCGGAGAAGGGGCUUCUCCUCAGGAAAUCGCAGCUCCUGCAGCCCCGCCAUGGUCACGUCGUGGAGCAGAAGCCCUAGGAAGAAGGGAAUACGAGGUUGGGUCUUGUUCUGAAGCUGCCCGGUGAGAACAUCACAUGGUAGGGCUCCUGCCCUCAAGGGACCACUUAAACCAAGGAGUAUUUGUUCUUUUCAAAAUAAAAUCAUGUUUUGCAAAACUAAA